rnacentral:rRNA from 1 species
CAGCCGCCGCGGUAAUACGAAGGGUGCAAGCGUUACUCGGAAUUACUGGGCGUAAAGCGUGCGUAGGUGGUGGUUUAAGUCCGUUGUGAAAGCCCUGGGCUCAACCUGGGAAUUGCAGUGGAUACUGGGUCACUAGAGUGUGGUAGAGGAUAGUGGAAUUUCCGGUGUAGCGGUGAAAUGCGUAGAGAUCGGGAGGAACACCGGUGGCGAAGGCGGCGACCUGGUCUUUAACUGACGCUGAGGCGCGAAAGCGUGGGGAGCAAACAGGAUUAGAUACCCCAGUAGUCCCUGUCUCUUAUAC